rnacentral:rRNA from 1 species
UACGAAGGGGGCUAGCGUUGCUCGGAAUUACUGGGCGUAAAGCGCACGUAGGCGGGUUCUUAAGUCGGUGGUGAAAUCCUGGAGCUCAACUCCAGAACUGCCUUCGAAACUGGGAAUCUUGAGUUCGGAAGAGGUGAGUGGAAUUGCGAGUGUAGAGGUGAAAUUCGUAGAUAUUCGCAGGAACACCAGUGGCGAAGGCGGCUCACUGGUCCGAUACUGACGCUGAGGUGCGAAAGCGUGGGGAGCAAACAGGG